GUGCUCGCUUCAGCAGCACGUAUACUAAAAUCGGAACGGUACGAAGAUUAGCAUGGCCCCUGCACAAGGAUGACCUGCAAGUUCGUGAAGGGUUCAGAGUAAUU